rnacentral:lncRNA from 13 species
UCAGAACCAUGAGAGGAGCUGGCACAAAGGAGUUAUGGGACAAAGGGUCUGAGGGAGGCAGAACAGAAAAUGCUGCCAGCUGAUGGGAAGAAAGGAAGUCAGAGGCUUGGACACUGAGGGGGACAGAACAUCUCCAUGUGCACUCUCAUCUCUUGUAGUCAGCAGCAGGUGGUCACAAGGAGGGCCCUGCACCAUGUGCCACCAUGAAAGGUCCAGAGAGCACACACCAAGUACGAAUAGCCCUGGACUCGAGCUCAGUCACAACUAGUGAACUGAAUAACACCAUCGACUUAUUGGUAAGAGUCCAGUGGGGUCCCCUGAUUCCACGCUGCCAAUCCUGGGCUCCAGUUUCCCCUUGGGGCUGCUGUGGGUGAAUUGAAGGGCGCUAUGGGGAGCCAGCACCGGACGCAGAGUUUGGAGGCCAAAUGCCCGCCCUGCCCUUACUUGGCUGUGGCCUUGGCCAAGUCCUAGGUGGGGGACUGUGCACUUGGCCCUUGGACUGUGAAGGUACAGAAGAGUAGCUUUAGUAUGUUACCAUUUGUGUAGAGAGAGGAAACGUGUGUGUGUGUGUGUGUGUGUGUGUACAUACUAUGAUAAUAUACAUAAAACAUGUCUGCAAGGAUUUGUAAAAAACUCAGGUGAGAGCACAAGUGGCUGGGAGAUACUUCCCUUCUGUACCUUCUAAGUUUUGGACUAUGUGAAUGUAUCCUCCUUUCAAAAUAUGAGCAAAAGAUUCAUUUCCCCCUUCCCGUCUGUGCCUCCACACCCAGCAGAAAAAAAAAAUGGACUUAGAGAAUAAGAUGGACCUGGGUGUUCAAAUCCCAGCUCUGUCUAAGUGAUCUUAGUCAACCACCUGACCUCUAAUACUCCAUGUUUUCCAUCUCCACAAUAGAGGUAAUGGUAGUAACCGCCCCUCAUGGUGGUUGUGAGGUUAACUGGGACUGUUCGCAGGCUACCUGGUGACGCACUCAAUAAAGGUUCCAACAGCGGUAGUAACGACA